GGAGAGGUGUCCGAGUGGCUUAAGGAGCACGCUUGGAAAGCGUGUGUACAUCACAAGUGUACCGAGGGUUCGAAUCCCUCUCUCUCCGCCA
rnacentral:tRNA from 2 species